rnacentral:lncRNA from 1 species
GGGCGGCGUCGCGGGUGGGGACGGGCUUCCUCUGCGGGCGGGUCUGCAGCUCCGCUCCCGGCCCCUCGGGCGGCGUCACGGCCAGCAAAGCGCCCGAGGCUCCCUUUCCCCGGUUGUUUCCCGUCACCCGGGCUCUAAACUUCACGGCGGAUCUGUGUUCCAGUGGAUUAGAAGAACGCACCCGGCAGGCUUCAGGGAGCUCCAGAGGCGACUCCAAGUAACGGGUUUAGGGGGCCGGCCCGCGGCCUGGCGGUUAGAGUUCCUGUUCUCCGCUUCAGCCCGUCGUGGAUCCAGACCAUCCGCCUGUCAGCAGCCUGCUGUGAGGACGGCCGCACGGAAGAACUGGAACCGCUGAAACUAGGUUUUCCCACCAGGUGCUCAUGGAUCUUACCUACGACAACCCAUCCUUGCUACCAAUACAGUCUGGAUUCUAAAAUCCCAGAAUCAGAGUUUAUCAUCU